rnacentral:rRNA from 1 species
UAGUGGGGGAUAGCCCGGCGAAAGCCGGAUUAAUACCGCAUACGAUCUGAGGGUGAAAGCGGGGGACCUUCGGGCCUCGCGCUAUAGGGUUGGCCGAUGGCUGAUUAGCUAGUUGGUGGGGUAAAGGCCUACCAAGGCGACGAUCAGUAGCUGGUCUGAGAGGACGACCAGCCACACUGGGACUGAGACACGGCCCAGACUCCUACGGGAGGCAGCAGUGGGGAAUUUUGGACAAUGGGCGAAAGCCUGAUCCAGCAAUGCCGCGUGUGUGAAGAAGGCCUUCGGGUUGUAAAGCACUUUUGUCCGGAAAGAAAUCCUUGGUUCUAAUAUAGCCGGGGGAUGACGGUACCGGAAGAAUAAGCACCGGCUAACUACGUGCCAGCAGCCGCGGUAAUACGUAGGGUGCAAGCGUUAAUCGGAAUUACUGGGCGUAAAGCGUGCGCAGGCGGUUUGCUAAGACCGAUGUGAAAUCCCCGGGCUCAACCUGGGAACUGCAUUGGUGACUGGCA